AAUGCGAUAAGUAAUAUGAAUUGCAGAAUUCAGUGAAUCAUCGAAUCUUUGAACGCACCUUGCGCUCCUUGGUAUUCCUUGGAGCAUGUCUGUUUGAGUAUCAUGAAAUCUUCAAAGUAAAUCUUUUGUUAACUCAAUUGGUUUCUACUUUGGUAUUGGAGGUCUUUGCAGCUUCACACCUGCUCCUCUUUGUUCAUUAGCUGGAUCUCAGUGUUAUGCUUGGUUCCACUCGGCGUGAUAAGUUAUCUAUCGCUGAGGACACUGUAAAAGGUGGCCAAGGUAAAUGCAGAUGAACCGCUUCUAAUAGUCCAUUGACUUGGACAAUACUUUUAUGAUCUGAUCUCAAAUCAGGUAGGACUACCCGCUGAACUUAAGC
rnacentral:misc_RNA from 1 species